rnacentral:rRNA from 1 species
AGUCGAGGGGCAGCAUUUUAGUUUGCUUGCAACUGAAGAUGGCGACCGGCGCACGGGUGAGUAACACGUAUCCAACCUGCCGAUAACUCCGGAAUAGCCUUUCGAAAGAAAGAUUAAUACCGGAUAGCAUACGAAUAUCGCAUGAUAUUUUUAUUAAAGAAUUUCGGUUAUCGAUGGGGAUGCGUUCCAUUAGUUUGUUGGCGGGGUAACGGCCCACCAAGACUACGAUGGAUAGGGGUUCUGAGAGGAAGGUCCCCCACAUUGGAACUGAGACACGGUCCAAACUCCUACGGGAGGCAGCAGUGAGGAAUAUUGGUCAAUGGGCGAGAGCCUGAACCAGCCAAGUAGCGUGAAGGAUGAAGGCUCUAUGGGUCGUAAACUUCUUUUAUAUGGGAAUAAAGUUUUCCACGUGUGGAAUUUUGUAUGUACCAUAUGAAUAAGGAUCGGCUAACUCCGUGCCAGCAGCCGCGGUAAUACGGAGGAUCCGAGCGUUAUCCGGAUUUAUUGGGUUUAAAGGGAGCGUAGGUGGAUUGUUAAGUCAGUUGUGAAAGUUUGCGGCUCAACCGUAAAAUUGCAGUUGAAACUGGCAGUCUUGAGUACAGUAGAGGUGGGCGGAAUUCGUGGUGUAGCGGUGAAAUGCUUAGAUAUCACGAAGAACUCCGAUUGCGAAGGCAGCUCACUAGACUGUCACUGACACUGAUGCUCGAAAGUGUGGGUAUCAAACAGGAUUAGAUACCCUGGUAGUCCACACAGUAAACGAUGAAUACUCGCUGUUUGCGAUAUACAGUAAGCGGCCAAGCGAAAGCAUUAAGUA